GAUAAACGCUGGCGGCGUGCAUGAGACAUGCAAGUCGAACGAACGAGCUUGCUCGUUAGUGGCGGACGGCUGAGUAACGCGUAGGUGACCUGCCCCGAAGUGGGGGAUAACUGCCCGAAAGGGUGGCUAAUACCGCAUGUGGCGACACUUUCAUUGGUGUCAUCAAAGCCGCGAGGCGCUUCGGGAGGGGCCUGCGUCCGAUUAGCUCGUUGGUGGGGUAAUGGCUCACCAAGGCGACGAUCGGUAGGUGGUCUGAGAGGACGAUCACCCAGACUGGGACUGAGACACGGCCCAGACUCCUACGGGAGGCAGCAGUCGGGAAUUUUGCUCAAUGGGCGCAAGCCUGAAGCAGCAACGCCGCGUGCGGGAUGAAGGCCUUCGGGUUGUAAACCGCUUUUAUCAGGGACGAUGAUGACGGUACCUGAUGAAUAAGUCACGGCUAACUACGUGCCAGCCGCCGCCGUAA
rnacentral:rRNA from 1 species